rfam:Nicotiana attenuata strain TT scaffold05893, whole genome shotgun sequence.
UGGAUAGAUUAUUGUAUUCAACUGUAUUCGACUGUAUUCACAGCGUGAAACAAGGAUUACACUGUUUUUAAACGGAAAGUGAAUCAAUUAACAUAAUAGACUCCU